AUUGAACGCUGGCGGCAUGCUUUACACAUGCAAGUCGAACGGCAGCACGGGAGCAAUCCUGGUGGCGAGUGGCGAACGGGUGAGUAAUACAUCGGAACGUGCCCAGUAGUGGGGGAUAGCCCGGCGAAAGCCGGAUUAAUACCGCAUAUGCCCUGAGGGGGAAAGCGGGGGACCGAAAGGCCUCGCGCUAUUGGAGCGGCCGAUGGCUGAUUAGCUAGUUGGUGGGGUAAAGGCCCACCAAGGCGACGAUCAGUAGCUGGUCUGAGAGGACGACCAGCCACACUGGGACUGAGACACGGCCCAGACUCCUACGGGAGGCAGCAGUGGGGAAUUUUGGACAAUGGGCGCAAGCCUGAUCCAGCAAUGCCGCGUGUGCGAAGAAGGCCUUCGGGUUGUAAAGCACUUUUGUUUGGAAAGAAAAGGUCAGUGCUAAUACCACUGGCCGAUGACGGUACCAAUCGAAUAAGCACCGGCUAACUACGUGCCAGCCGCCGCGGUAAAAC
rnacentral:rRNA from 1 species